AUGUUAUUUGAUUGCUUUUGAGCUGGCUUGGCUGGAGUUUCUUUUGGAAGGUCCUUGGAUGUUUUUAUUGCGUCACCCUCCUUGGUGGCUUGAACCUCAGUUUUCAAAGGCUCCACAGCUUGUUCUUUUUCUAAGUUAUCCACUCCAGGUUCAACAGAUUCCUCUUCUUUUUCUUCAAAUUUGGAUGCCAAUGUUUCUCUAACAGGUUCACUUACAGCUCUAGAGAUUUCUUCCACCUUUGUGUCACUGUUCCGUUCCUUCUUGUCAUCAACUACCGAGAUAUCAUCACCUUUUACGUUCUCUACCAUCACACUCUCUGCUACUUCAGUUGUUGCUGUUUUUGUCUCAUUCUGUUCCUCAACUUUUCUGCUUCCAGCCUCUUCCUCUGCUGAAGAUCCAGUGACAGCCUUGGGUGCUUCAGGUUCCUUUUUGUCAUCAUCAUUUGCGGCAACAUCAACCUUUUCCUCCACAAAAUCUUCUUUUAAGUUAGGUUUAGCUCCCUGAUCAAUGGAGGCUGGUUCUGGAAUUUGUAUGAUGCUAUCCACUUGAUUUGGUACCCCUUCAAUCACAUCAGUAGUGAUUGAUUCUUUUUUGUCGUCCUCUUCGACAACCUUUUCUGCUACUUCAGGAGAAGGUUCCACAAUAUUUGCUUGAGGUUCUUCAUUUGAUGAAACUUGUGCAGCAUUUUCAGUGUGGCUAGUUUCCUCCUCUUUGUCAGUUUUCACAAUAUUUGCUUGAGGUUCUUUAUUGUCAUCCUCUUCAACAACCUUUUCUGCUACUACCGGAGAAGGUUCCACAAUAUUUGCUUGAGGUUCUUCAUUUGGUGAAACUGGUGCAGCAUUUUCAGUGUGGAUAGUUUCCUCCUCUUUGUCAGUUUUCUCUUCCUUGAUCGUGUCAUCUGAAGUCCCUUCGCUCUUGGAGAUCUCAAGCACAACUUCAGGAGAAGGUUCCACAAGAUUUGCUAGAGGUUCCUCAUGUGAUGAGACUUGUGCUGCAUCUCUAGUGAGGCUAGCUUCCUCCUCUUUGUCAGUUUUCUCUUCCUUGACCGUGUCAUCUGAAGUUCCUUCACUCUUAGAAGCCUCAAGCACCACUUCAAGAGAAGGUUCCGCAAGAUUUGAUUGAGGUUCCUCAUUUGAUAAAACUUGCGCAGCAUUUACAGUGAGGCUAGUUUCCUCCUCUUUAUCAGUUUUCUCUUCCUUGAUCAGGUCAUCUGAAGUUCCUUCAGUCUUGGCAGUCUCAAUCACAAUUUCUCGCUUAUUCUCCACGUCCUUACAAGCUUCCGCACCUUCCUCAUCUACUUGUAGCUGUUCUCUUGGCUUUUCCUCCAUUUCAAUUGACUGAGGUUCUGGUUUCUCUAUUUUUUCAGGAACUGCGUCUGAGUUGCCAGUGUCUUUCACCUUCUCAGUACUGCUUUGUUGCUCUGCACUUUCAGCUUCUGCUUCGGGAACAGCUGUCUUAAGCUGCUCUUCUUCCUCUUGUUUUCCUGAUUCACUUUGGCUUUCAUCAACUUUCGC
rnacentral:lncRNA from 1 species